AGAGUUUGAUCCUGGCUCAGGACGAACGCUGGCGGCGUGCCUAAUACAUGCAAGUCGAGCGAGCUGAAUUCAAAGAUUCCUUCGGGAUGAUUUGUUGGACGCUAGCGGCGGAUGGGUGAGUAACACGUGGGCAAUCUGCCCUAAAGACUGGGAUACCACUUGGAAACAGGUGCUAAUACCGGAUAACAACAUGAAUCGCAUGAUUCAAGUUUGAAAGGCGGCGUAAGCUGUCACUUUAGGAUGAGCCCGCGGCGCAUUAGCUAGUUGGUGGGGUAAAGGCCUACCAAGGCAAUGAUGCGUAGCCGAGUUGAGAGACUGAUCGGCCACAUUGGGACUGAGACACGGCCCAAACUCCUACGGGAGGCAGCAGUAGGGAAUCUUCCACAAUGGACGCAAGUCUGAUGGAGCAACGCCGCGUGAGUGAAGAAGGUUUUCGGAUCGUAAAGCUCUGUUGUUGGUGAAGAAGGAUAGAGGCAGUAACUGGUCUUUAUUUGACGGUAAUCAACCAGAAAGUCACGGCUAACUACGUGCCAGCAGCCGCGGUAAUACGUAGGUGGCAAGCGUUGUCCGGAUUUAUUGGGCGUAAAGCGAGCGCAGGCGGAAUGAUAAGUCUGAUGUGAAAGCCCACGGCUCAACCGUGGAACUGCAUCGGAAACUGUCAUUCUUGAGUGCAGAAGAGGAGAGUGGAAUUCCAUGUGUAGCGGUGGAAUGCGUAGAUAUAUGGAAGAACACCAGUGGCGAAGGCGGCUCUCUGGUCUGCAACUGACGCUGAGGCUCGAAAGCAUGGGUAGCGAACAGGAUUAGAUACCCUGGUAGUCCAUGCCGUAAACGAUGAGCGCUAGGUGUUGGGGACUUUCCGGUCCUCAGUGCCGCAGCAAACGCAUUAAGCGCUCCGCCUGGGGAGUACGACCGCAAGGUUGAAACUCAAAGGAAUUGACGGGGGCCCGCACAAGCGGUGGAGCAUGUGGUUUAAUUCGAAGCAACGCGAAGAACCUUACCAGGUCUUGACAUCCUUCUGACCGCACCUUAAUCGGUGCUUUCCUUCGGGACAGAAGAGACAGGUGGUGCAUGGUUGUCGUCAGCUCGUGUCGUGAGAUGUUGGGUUAAGUCCCGCAACGAGCGCAACC
rnacentral:rRNA from 1 species